UACGUAGGGGGCAAGCGUUGUCCGGAUUUAUUGGGCGUAAAGAGCUCGUAGGUGGUUCGGUAAGUCGGAUGUGAAAUCUCCAGGCUCAACCUGGAGGGGUCAUUCGAUACUGCCGUGACUAGAGUUCGGUAGGGGAGUGUGGAAUUCCUGGUGGAGCGGUGAAAUGCGCAGAUAUCAGGAGGAACACCAGCGGCGAAGGCGGCGCUCUGGGCCGGAACUGACGCUGAGGAGCGAAAGCGUGGGUAGCAAACAGG
rnacentral:rRNA from 1 species